rnacentral:rRNA from 1 species
UGGGGAAUUUUGGACAAUGGGCGCAAGCCUGAUCCAGCAAUGCCGCGUGUGUGAAGAAGGCCUUCGGGUUGUAAAGCACUUUUGUCAGGAACGAAACAGUGUCCGCUAAUACCGGGCGCGAAUGACGGUACCUGAAGAAUAAGCACCGGCUAACUACGUGCCAGCAGCCGCGGUAAGACGUAGGGUGCGAGCGUUAAUCGGAAUUACUGGGCGUAAAGCGUGCGCAGGCGGCUUUGUAAGACAGGUGUGAAAUCCCCGGGCUCAACCUGGGAACUGCACUUGUGACUGCAAGGCUAGAGUGCGUCAGAGGGAGGUGGAAUUCCGCGUGUAGCAGUGAAAUGCGUAGAGAUGCGGAGGAACACCGAUGGCGAAGGCAGCCUCCUGGGAUGACACUGACGCUCAUGCACGAAAGCGUGGGGAGCAAACAGG